rfam:Caenorhabditis brenneri strain PB2801 C_brenneri-6.0.1_Cont60.22, whole genome shotgun sequence.
UCCAGAUACGGAGACCUCGUCCCUCUGAGUCCCUUCGGAAAGGUCGUUGGCAGUAUGUGUGCCCUGAUUGGUGUGCUCACGUUGGCACUUCCAGUACCGAUUAUUGUUAGUUUU